UACGGGAGGCAGCAGUGGGGAAUAUUGCACAAUGGGCGCAAGCCUGAUGCAGCCAUGCCGCGUGUAUGAAAAAGGCCUUCGGGUUGUAAAGUACUUUCAGUCGUGAGGAAGGUGUUAAGGUUAAUAACCUUAGCAAUUGACGUUAGCGACAGAAGAAGCACCGGCUAACUCCGUGCCAGCAGCCGCGGUAAUACGGAGGGUGCGAGCGUUAAUCGGAAUUACUGGGCGUAAAGGGCACGCAGGCGGUUAAUUAAGUUGGAUGUGAAAUCCCCGGGCUUAACCUGGGAAUGGCAUUCAAGACUGGUUAGCUAGAGUCUUGUAGAGGGGGUUAGAAUUCCAUGUGUAGCGGUGAAAUGCGUAGAGAUGUGGAGGAAUACCGGUGGCGAAGGCGGCCCCUGGACAAAGACUGACGCUCAUGUGCGAAAGCUGGGGAGCAAACGAGGAUUAGAUACCCGU
rnacentral:rRNA from 1 species